CUGCAACUUGGCCUACUGUGCAGACGUCAACACCAAGGUGUGUUCUACCUGUAGAAACGAUGAGACCUGUAUGAGUGACAACAAGAUCAACUGGAGGUGCAAGAGGAAAGUCACCCUCCUCUCAUUUUACUCUCUCAAAGAGCAAUCUUCUAC